rnacentral:tRNA from 1 species
GCCGGGGUAGCUCAGUCGGCAGAGCGGCUCACUCGUAAUGAGCAGGUCAGGGGUUCGAUUCCCCUCCCCGGCUCCA